UCUGGGUUGGGCCAUUCCAGCCAUUGCAGCAAUGAGUUUGACACGUCCUGUCUAGGUGAUAGAUUUCAAGGUCCUGAAAUGGGCUGGUAGCAUUAAGAGCAGGAAAAGGAGAAUGGUUUCAAAAUACAUUAAUCAAACCUAUAGGACUUGACGCUUUGGGGCACGGAUGAGAAGGAGAAACAAAGAUAUUCAGUUUAUUCUGAUACUUUAAAUCAAGGCAAAGGGGAAGAUUGGAGUGCCAUCAACUGGGGGUGGGGAGAGAAAUUAAGAGGAGUAAGUUAUAGGGUUGGAAAUGAUGAGUUCAGUUUGAAACAUACAGUAUUUGAGGUGUAAGGGCAAUCCCCAAGUAGAAAUAGUCAAGCAGGCAGUUAGAAAUUUGGGACUGGAGCCCAGAUGAGAGGUUAGGGCCUCAGCUACAGAUUUGAGAGUCAUUUACAUUGAAGUGAUAAUUGAAGCCAUGGGAGUGGAUGAGAUCACCAGAAAAAAGAGAGAGGGAGAAAAAAAGUUGCUUUACCAAUUAUAUUCAGUGAAAUACCGAAAAGGGUGUAACCCAGGCUAAAGUAGGGGAAAGUAGGGACAAGGCUGUCAGGCAUAUAAAGAUGUAGCCAUAAAAUAAGUGUGUUUAGGGCUUCCAUAUUGGAGGCCCCUGAAUUACCCAGAGAUAUGUGCUUUGAUCAUUUACAGCUGCCUCCACCAAAGCCCUACUCUAAAGCUUUACUAUAUAUAUAUAUAUAUAUAUAUAUAUAUAUAUAUAUAUAUAUAUAUAUAGAGAGAGAGAGAGAGAGAGAGAGAGAGAGAGAGAGAGAGAGAGAGAGAGAGAGACACAGAGACAGAGACAGAGAGUCAAAGACAGGGAGAAAUAGAGAGAGAAAUAAAGAAACAUUACUGAAAAUGUAAAUAGAAAUACAACUCCUGGAAUACACACAAAUAAUUAUGUGUGUAUUACAUUAAUACAAGGUAGUUUUGUGCAAGUAUGCACUAAUAGGUUGGGGGAAGGAGGUGAGAAUCAGGAAAGGUUUCAUCUAAGAAUCAGAGGAGAUGAGGGAGAGCAUUCCAAGCAGGGAAAUUGUCAACACACAAACCAAAGGGAGGAAAUAUAGUACAGUGUGUGCAGAACAGCAAGAUGGCCAGAAUGCCAAGAUCACAGAAUGCACAAAGGGCAGCAAUGUGUACGAAGUCUGGAAAAGGAGGAAAGGUCCAGGUUAUAAAGCAAUUGAAAUGCCAAACAAAGAAGAAAAGUGACGAAGAUGACGUAGGGUGGUGACUGUGUGAACAGACAAGAAAAGAUAUAUGUGAGAGAUAUGGAGAUGGAAAUUUCUACAUGGCCCCCCAGAAGAGAUCAGAGCUAAUUCUUGCUGCUCAGCACGCUAAGUCUGACUUCCUCAUGCAAACACCAUGGUAUCCUCACUACCAUUUCCACUCCACAGAUGGCUUUUGCCCAUUUUGCACUCUCAGGGGAUACAAUGGCUCACACCAAAUUACAUAGAUUUCCUUGUCUACUUACAUGGUGUGCUAUGCUUUGGCAAGAUGGCAUCCUCUCUGGACCAGGCUUUAGUGACUUGUUCAUUCCACAUAAUUGAGGUCACUGGGUUGCUUUGGCAGACACUCUAAAUUGCCCAGGGCUGCUGUGUACAUAGUUAAGGGUAUUGUGAACUCCAUCUCCACCCCUUAUGCCAAUUUGCUCUGGAGACAAGGCCACCAAGGCUUAUGGGAAAAUUAGAGCAGCAUGUCAUGAAAAUUUCUAUUUACAUUUUCAGUAAUCAUGUCUUAUAAAGGCAGUUCAACAAUUGAAAUACCCCAAGUAAUUCAUCCAGUUAGUAAACUCAGCCCAUUUGAAGUAUUUUCUCUUUUAAAGUCAAAGAACUUAAAUUUGCUACCUACUUUUGGUUAAGAAAGA
ensembl:lncRNA